rnacentral:lncRNA from 1 species
AACUAUCCAAGACUCUAGUCUUGAUAAAAUCUUGAGCUUGAGUCUUUUGAUUACUAACAGAGCAAUCAUCUUCCACCGUUAUAUAACAAGAACUCGAGCACCACACAUUUUGCUCACAAAAUCUCUAAUCUUCCACCAUGUAAUUUAUAAUUUUUGCAAUAGAAGCUUGAAGAAAACGACGAGGGCUAUGUGAAACCUGGGGCGGCCAAAAGAUAUUUUAAUGGAUUUUGUUUUAUGAUAACAUGGUUUUGUGUUUCGUGGUGUUUGCUUGAAUUUUUUGUU